rnacentral:lncRNA from 1 species
CGGGCAAUCAAUUGUCCUACAGUAUGGAAUAAAUUAUAACUAUGACGGGCAAUCAAAUGUGUCUUAAACAACCAUCUCAGGUUGUCUUUCAACAUCUCUGUUACACCAAAUCUAUUUUACGGAACUAUAUAAUUGGUGACUAUGUUUAUGUUCAAUGUUUGUUUCUUUUUAGUUGCAGUUGGUGGUUUUUUUAGUUCUAUAUUUUCAUUUCUUUAUUUUAAAAAAAAAAAUUUGGAUUAUUUUUAUCUAACUCUUUGGUUAUUUAACCCUUUCUUGACCCAUGGUAUAAACAAAUUACUUGGGCUAUUCAACCCUUUAUUGGCCCAUUUUAUAAUUUUUUUUAAUCAACAUGUUGUUGCCGAUGAACUCACAACAGGAUUGGAUUAGCUUAAAGGUCAGAACCUUUAUCAGCUCGCUGGUUGAAUCGAAGUGUUAAAUAAAUUGAAAACAAAUGCACUCGAAGGGGAUUUGUAUUUAUCAAAAAAGGACAUUUAUAUGAUUAUCAUC